GCUUGCUUCUAGUGCUUGCUUCUUGCAGCAUCUGUACAGAGAAUAUUAACAUGGUUCCUGUACAAGAAUGACACACAAAUUCAUGAAGCAUUCCAUACCUUU